CUGAUCGUUGGCGAGAGAUAAGAGAUAAAGUAGUUGCGCUUUUCUACAUGUGGGAUUCCAGCUUCCCCAGCGCCAGCGAUUGAGAAGACUUGAGAAGACCGUUCCAAUGCGCACCCUCCGCACCUUUGCUGGGAGGCUGUCGGGGAGCUUCCUGGCGCCCUGGAAAAAAGAAUAAAGAAGGAGAAAAAGGAAAACACAGCAAGUUCGCAAGCUUUUCUUUUCCUGCCCAGAAAGAAGGUGGACACUGAAGCAGAUCUAUGCGGACUCCACAGAGCGCCGGCACUGCCCAGGCCUGCGCCGUAAGCCACUAAAAACCUGCCCUCAGGUGCGUGAAGCACCUGCUCUGGACCUGAACACUGGAAGUGGGCAUCGUGACCUCGGGUGGGGACUUGGGUGCCAGGGGCCCCAUGGCAUGCAGCCUCCUGUGCUGAGGUUGUGGAGGUUGGGGCUGGGGCUCCUGGGCUGCUCGUGUUUAGAUUUGUGGACCUGGAGACUUUGUGGACCAAGGUCCAGUCUCCUUGGGCUCCAUCUUGCAGACCCGGGCAGCCCUGACCUUUGUGGGGUUUGCAGCUGGGCAGAGGGGCUCUCUGGACACCGGUUCUCAGCUGAGGCUAUGGAAAAGUGGCAGCAGGAAGGGUCUGCCAGUAUCCAUGUCCCCCAGUGAAGCCCUGGACAGCAGAGAUGCUGGAGUCAGCAGACGAAUAUUCCAGACAAGCAAGAUAAACAAGCCAGAGAUGGGACAUUGUGACCAAACAAGAGAUGCGGCUGGAAUCUCCGAGGGCCAAGGGCCUAGACAGGAAGCUGGACCACGGAUACAGAGAGUGGAGGAGGAGCUCUCGCUGGAUGCUGUUGGGAACCGGGGCCAGAUGCAGAGCAUCCUCUAGGAAGACUCAUUUCCUUGGGUGUCUGUUUCCAGUAGAUUUUUUUCCCCAGCAUAUGAGUUUGAAUCCAGGGUCUUCACAUGGAACUAU